UUCCGGUUGAUCCCGCCGGAGGCCACUGCUAUCGGGGUCCGACUAAGCCAUGCGAGUCAAGGGGGUGUCCCUCUGGGACACCACCGGCGGACGGCUCAGUAACACGUCGGUAACCUACCCUCGGGAGGGGGAUAACCCCGGGAAACUGGGGCUAAUCCCCCAUAGGCCUGAGGUACUGGAAGGUCCUCAGGCCGAAAGGGGCUUUUGCCCGCCCGAGGAUGGGCCGGCGGCCGAUUAGGUAGUUGGUGGGGUAACGGCCCACCAAGCCGAAGAUCGGUACGGGCUGUGAGAGCAGGAGCCCGGAGAUGGACACUGAGACACGGGUCCAGGCCCUACGGGGCGCAGCAGGCGCGAAACCUCCGCAAUGCGGGAAACCGCGACGGGGGGACCCCGAGUGCCGUGGCACCGCCACGGCUUUUCCGGAGUGUAAAAAGCUCCGGGAAUAAGGGCUGGGCAAGGCCGGUGGCAGCCGCCGCGGUAAUACCGGCGGCCCGAGUGGUGGCCGCUAUUAUUGGGCCUAAAGCGUCCGUAGCCGGGCCCGUAAGUCCCUGGCGAAAUCCCACGGCUCAACCGUGGGGCUUGCUGGGGAUACUGCGGGCCUUGGGACCGGGAGAGGCGGGGGGUACCCCUGGGGUAGGGGUGAAAUCCUAUAAUCCCAGGGGGACCGCCAGUGGCGAAGGCGCCCCGCUGGAACGGGUCCGACGGUGAAGGACCAAGGCCAGGGGAGCAAACCGGAUUAGAUACCCGGGCAGUCCU
rnacentral:rRNA from 1 species